rnacentral:rRNA from 1 species
CCCUUAGAUGUUCUGGGCCGCACGCGCGCUACACUGAUGCAUUCAACGAGCCUAUCCUUGACCGACAGGUCCGGGUAAUCUUUGAAUCUGCAUCGUGACGGGGAUAGAUUAUUGCAAUUAUUAAUCUUCAACGAGGAAUGCCUAGUAGGCGCAAGUCAUCAGCUUGCGUCGAUUACGUCCCUGCCCUUUGUACACACCGCCCGUCGCUCCUACCGAUUGGGUGUGCUGGUGAAAUGUUCGGAUCGGCCGUUUGUCGCGGUUUCCGCGUCAUGUGGCUGAGAAGUUCAUUAAACCCUCCCACCUAGAGGAAGGAGAAGUCGUAACAA